rnacentral:lncRNA from 1 species
CAUGGGUGCAGCCCUAAAAAAAACUUUUAUUAAAGCUAAAAAAUUCUAACGUCAUCUGAGCCUUCAGUGAGUUGUAAUUUUUUUUGCUAGUGGAGGAUCCUUCCUUGAUGUUGAUGGCUGCUGACUGAUCAGGGUGGUAGUUGGUGAAGGUUAAAGUGGCUGUGACAGUUUCUUAAGACAGCAAUGAAAGUUUGCCACAUUGAUUGACUCCUGUUUUCACAAUUUCGCCAUAGCAUGCAGUCCUGUUUGGUAGCAUUUUAUCUACCUUUCAAAACUGGAAUCAGUCCUCUCAAACCCUGUCACUGCUUUAUCAGCUAAUUGUAAUACUCUAAAUCCUUAUUGUCAUUUCAACAAUCUUCAUGGCAUUUUCACCAGGAGUAGAUUCUGUCUCAAGAAACCACUUUCUUUGCUCAUCUGUACAAAGCAGCUUCUCAUCCAUUGGUUUUCAUCAUGAGGUUUCAGCAAUUCAUUCACAUCUUUAGGCUCCAUUUCUGAUUCUAGUUUUCUUGCUAUUUCCACUACGUCUGCAGUUACUUCCUCCACUGAAGUCUUGAACCCUUCAAAGUUAUCUUUGGGAGUUGGAAUAAACUUCUUACAAAUUUCUGUGAAUGUUGCUACUUUGACCUGUUCCCAGGCUAGAGAUCUCAUCGGAGCUAUAGCUGCCGGCCUACACCACAGCCAUAGCAACGCCAGAUCCAAGCCACGUUUGUGACCUACACCACAGCUCACGGCAAUGCCAGAUCCUUAACCCACUGAGCAAAGCCAGGGAUCGAACCCGCAACCUCGUGGUUCCUAGUCGGAUUUGUUUCCGCUGUGCCAUGAGGCGAACUCCUUAAAGGAUAAGACCUUAAAGUAGGAAUAUUCCCUGAUCCAUAGGCUGCAGAAUGGAUAUUGUGUUAGCAAGCAUGAAAACAACGUUGAUCUUGUUGUAUAUCUCCAUCAGAGGUCUUGGGUGACAUGGUGACUUGUUGAUGAGCAGUAAUGUUCUGAAAGGAAUCUUUUUCUGAGCAGUAGGUCUCAACAGUGAGUUUAAAAUAUUCAGUAAACCUUGUUGUAGAAAUAUGCUGUCAUCCAAGUUUUGUUGUUUUAUAGAGCACAGACAGAGUAGAUUGUCAUCAUUCUUGAAGGCCCUGGGAGUUUCAGUGUGGCAGAUAAUGGCUUCAGCUUUAAGUCACCAGCUGCAUUAUCCCCUAAGAAGAGAGUUGGCCUGCGCUUUGAAGCUUUGCAGCUAGGCAUUGACUUCUCUCUAGCUGUGAAAGCCCUAGAUGGCAUCUUUUUCCAAUAGAAGGUAGUUUUAUCUACAUCGAAAAUCUGUUGUUUGGUGUAGCCACCCUAUUAAGUAUCUUAGUUAGAUCCUCUGCAUAACUUGCUGCAGCUUCUACAUCAGCACUUGCAGCUUCACCUUACACUUUUAUAUUAUGAAGACAGCUUCUUUCUUUAAACCUCAUGAACCAGCCUUUGCUGGCUUCACACUUUUCUUCUGCAGCUUCAUUUCUUUCAGCCUUCGUAGAAUUGAAAAGAGGACCUUACUUUGGGCUAUACUUUGACUUAAGGGAAUGUUGUGGCUAGUUUGGUCUAUCCAGACCACAAAACUUUAUCAACAAUAAGGCUGUUUCACUUUCUUAUCAAUUCAUGUGUUCAUUUUUAAUUUCCUUCAAGAAUUUUUCCUUUGCAUUCACAAGUUGGUUGUUCAGUGCAAGAGGCCUAGCUUUUGGCCUAUCUUGACUUUUGACAUGCCUUUCUCACUAAGCUUAAUCAUUUCUAGCUUUUGAUUUAAAGUGAGAGAUGUGCAAUUCUUCCUUUCAUUUGAACAAUUAGAAGCCAUUACAGAGUUUUUAAUUGGCCUAAUUUCAAUAUUGUUGUAUCUCCGGGAAUAGGGAGGCCUGGAUAGGGAAAGCCAUGGGAACAGCUGAUCUGUAGAGCAGUCGGAACACACAUAACAUUUAUGGAUUAAGUUUACUGUUUAAUAUGGACACCGUCUGUGCUUCAAAACAAUUACUGCAGUAAUAGCAAAGAUUACUGGUCACAGAUCACUGUAACAAACAUAACAAUGAAAAUGUUUGAAAUGUUGCAAGAAUUACCAAAAUAUAACACAGAGGCACAAAGUGAGCAAAUGCUGUUGGAAAAAUGGCAUUGAUGAAUUUGCUUAACACAGCAUUGCUACAAACCUUCAAUUAAAAAAAAAAGGUGCAGUAUCUGUGGGGUACCAUAAAGCAAAGUGCAACAAAAUGAGGUAUGCCUGUAUUCUGCAGCUGUUAGAUGGAAUGAUCUGUAUAUGUAUGCUGGGUCCACUUGUCCUAAAGUGUCAUUCAAGUCCAUUAUUUUCUUAAUUGAUUUUCUGUCUGAAUAAUCAUUGAUCCCAUUGUUGACAGUGGAAUUUUGAAAUCCUCUACUCUUACUGCAUUGCUUUGUUUUUGCUUUCAGAUCUGUUAAUAAUUGUUUAAUAUAUUUAGGUGCCCCAGUAUUGGUAUGUACAUAUUUACAAUUGUUAUAUCCUUUUAAAAUUAAUUCAGACCUCUUAAUUAUAUAAUGACCUUUGUUUUUGUUAAGCUUUAUGUUAAAGUCUGUUUUGUUUGAUAUAAUUAUAGCUACUCCUCUCUUUUGUUUUCCAUUUUAAUGGACUAUCUUUUUCCUUCCCUUUACUUUUAGCUUGUAAGGGUCCUUAAAGCAUAAGUGAGUCUCUUGUAGUGAGCAUAUAAUUAGGUCUUGUUUUUAUACCUAUUCAACCACUCUAUGUCUUUCAAUUAUAAAAACAAUUUACAGGGAGUUCCUGUCGUGGCUCAUUGGUAACGAACCCAACUAGGAUCCAUGAGGAUGCAGGUUUGAUCCCUGGCCUUGCUCAGUGGGUUAAGGGCCCGGUGUUGCUGUGAGCUGUGGCAUAGCUCCAAUUUGACCCCUAGCCUGGGAAUUUCCAUAUGCUGAGGGUGCAGCCCUAAAAAAAAAAAAAAAAAAAAAAAAA